UCUAUCUUAUAUUUUCUCAAGUCUUAGUCCUUAUCAUCGUGUCUGCCAAAAAACCCAUUACCAACAAACUUAGUCUCCAUGGUUGUACCCUUUCGUUGUUUCUGGACCUAGCGGAAAACCCAUCACCAGCAAACUUGGUUUCUAUAAGCGAAAUGUGAUUUUCUGACCUAUCCAUGUUCUCCGGUGUGUAUACUUGACCGUGUGCCCUAUAACUGCCCGAGAUCCUAUCUUGCAUACCAAAAUUAAUUUCCCGGAGACUGUCAAUGCUCAGUAAUUUUUUAAAGCUAUUUUUCAUCAUUUCCACGCCAGUGAGGCUACUAGCUGAGGAAUUUAGCUACAAUAUUAUGGAUGGGAUAUCAAUUGAUAGACCACUUCGAUUUAUAGCAACAAGCCAUGAACUUUGACGCUCUGUGUGUUAAGCUCUAGCUUCUACCUCAGUGAUUUUUGAUUCUGUCAGUUUUAGGAUCAAACCUGAGUUCCCAUGUUGGCCAGUAGUGCGAAUCUUGCUUCAAUGUGAGCACUCAAGGCUUCCCAUUCAGGUGUACUAUUCGUACAUGAACAAACUCUCCAUUCUCUAUUGCUGCUGGCAAGGAACUUUAUUGAAAUUCAGUUUAUAGAGGAUAGCACAAACUCUCCAUUCUCUAUUGCUGCUGGUAAGGAACUUAUUGAAAUU